rnacentral:rRNA from 1 species
AACGAACGCUGGCGGCAUGCCUAACACAUGCAAGUCGAACGAAACCUUCGGGUUUAGUGGCGCAUGGGUGCGUAACGCGUGGGAACCUGCCCUUAGGUUUGCCAUAACUCCCCGAAUGGGGUCCUAAUACCGGCUAUAGUCUCCCGACCAAGGUGUUGUCGCCGUUGGGUGGGCUUGCGUUGGAUUAGUUAGUUGGUAGGGUAAAAGCCUACCAAGGGGACGAUCCAUAGCUGGUCUGAGAGGAUGAUCAGCCACACUGGAAGUGAGACACGGCCCAGACACCUACGAGAGGGAGCAGUGGGGAAUAUUGGACAAGGGGCGGAAGCGUGAACGAGCAAUGGAGCGUGAAGGAUGAAGGGCUUAGAGUAGGAAAGCUAUUUUACCAGGGAGGAUAAUGAAAGUACCGGGAGAAUAAGCUCCGGCUAACUCCGUG